AUGUGAAGCCAGAUAUUGGGACUGUUUCCCCUUCCAUUGAACCAGAAGAGAAAGUAUCUUCAAGCAGCCCUGCUAAUGAUGUGAAGCCAGAUAUUGGGACUGUUUCCCAUUCCAUUGAACCUGAAGAGAAAGUAUCUUCAAGCAGCCCUGCUAAUGAUGUGAAGCCAGAUAUUGGGACUGUUUCCCCUUCCAUUGGAUCUGAAGAGAAAUUAUCUUCAAGCAACCCUGCUAAUGAUGUGAAGCCAGAUAUUGGGACUGUUUCCCCUUCCAUUGGACCUGAAGAGAAAGUAUCUUUAAGCAGCCCUGCUAAUGAUGUGGAGCCAGAUAUUGGGACUGUUUCUCAUUCCAUUCAACCUGAAGAGAAAAUAGAUAUUGUUGCUGCUGAGGUGGGGAAAGGAGCUUUGAAAGUAGAUGUUGCUGAGGUG
rnacentral:lncRNA from 1 species